UCAAGGAACAUUUCCUGUCAAGGUAAUCUCAUUUGUUUAGUGUAUUAUUCCAUUUUUGCACAGCCUGCGCUUUCAUUUGCAUUUGUUUCAUCCGUCAGCCAUUUUCCAUUUAUUUUCUGAGAUUUAUUCAUAUAUUAUAUUCUGCUUUUAUUAUGGUAAUAAAUAUAUUGAUUUUUAUUUCACGGAUUUUUUUUUCCCCAUUGCUGUUGGCAUAUUCUCUUCUCCUUUCCCUUCCCCUUCCCCUUCCCCAUUUCUUGGAUUGUGCGUGUAAUUUUUAUUUUUAAUUUUUUUAGCCAGGGGGUGGGUGUGAACGGAGAAGAUGGUGAACGUUCACGAACUUAAAAUUAGGGGAGAGUUCCUUUUUGAGGAUAUCUUAAAGGGAAAUCUGAAGUUCUCAUUGAGAAGCUUCAUGGUUUUUUCCUCAAGUAUUUUGGACUUGGAAUCCAUGCUUUAGCUGUGUUCUUAUUAACAUCUGCCAUUUAUUUUUUUGGUUUAAUUCAGUGAUUGUACACUUUUGAGCUCAAGUAAUUUUCUGGGUAAGAUCUUAAUGUAGUGAAAGACAGUGAGAGUUCUGUUUCCUAUGACUUGAGAUUGAGUAAACCUAUCAUAACCAAGCAUCUUACUUGAUUAUAAUAAUCUAAAUCUUGUAGCACAUUGUCCCUGGCAUCCUUCAUAAGCUUUACAACAUUAUGAAUUCAUAACAUCUUUUGCUUAUCAAAAUAUAAGUACUGCUUUUGUAACAGUGAAUUUUCAUUAAAGUCAUUUGUGUGCAGGCUUGUCUUUACUAAUAUAAAUAUAUUACGAAUUUAUGACACUUUUUUCAUACUCUUGAGGAAAACAGUUGUGCUAUCAUAUUCAAGAAAAAAAAAUAGAGAAUGUGAUCUGACAUUUUCUGUCUCCCUGGUCUAGAAUAAAUAUUUGCUUCUACUAAUCAAUUUGUUGUAGGUUUUAUCAUUGGAAGCAAGAGAUUUUGUUAGUUAAUGAUGCCCGGCAGUAAUAUAAUUAUCUACAGUAACACAUGGAGUAGUGGGAGCUUUGCCUACAGAGGUGUCUUGUGUCUCAUGGCAAACUGACAGGGUAGGGUAUCAUACAAUAGGUCCUCACUGUGUAAUGUUCACAUGCAGAAAACUGUUUAAAGUUGAAUAACAUUAGUCACAAUAAUAAUUGUGGUUUUAUCCCCCCGAAGUACGAGUUUUGGCAACUAGCUGCUGGCAUGAUAAUUUGUUGCUUCAAAAGUUGUCUUUGAAUGUGGUGGUGCAUUAUAUUUUAGUACUGAAGUUUUUAGUGCUCUGAUAAUUAGGACUUGAGAGUGAAAUAUGUGCUUAUAUAGAGGUAGCUUAUUGCUAGAGACUUAGGCCUAUACUUGAAAUGUAUGUGGGGCUUGAUUUGUGCCGUGUCGAAACCAUUAUUUAGAGGCCCAAGUCCUGUUUCUCAACUUGCAUUCUUAUGUCCUCAUAUUGGGGAAAUUCAAUUAAUGUAGAACAACCAAUAGAACAAAAGGGAACAAAGAGGAUGCAAUAUUAGAUGAGGUUUGCAAGAAAAAAAAAUCAGUAGCGAGAAAUUUUAAGGGAUUAAGGGCAAUUUUCCACAGACAAUUGGAUACCUUGCUUUGAUAUCAAAUUGAUGUACAAGCAAUAGGACAAAGGGGUUGGGAAACAAAUUCUUAACAGAAAUAAAUUCUCAAUCUUAUUAAUUCUCAAAUUAAUUGUC
rnacentral:misc_RNA from 1 species